rnacentral:rRNA from 1 species
AUUGAACGCUGGCGGCAGGCCUAACACAUGCAAGUCGAACGGUAACAGGAAACAGCUUGCUGUUUCGCUGACGAGUGGCGGACGGGUGAGUAAUGUCUGGGAAACUGCCUGAUGGAGGGGGAUAACUACUGGAAACGGUAGCUAAUACCGCAUAACGUCGCAAGACCAAAGAGGGGGACCUUCGGGCCUCUUGCCAUCGGAUGUGCCCAGAUGGGAUUAGCUUGUUGGUGGGGUAACGGCUCACCAAGGCGACGAUCCCUAGCUGGUCUGGAAGGAUGACCAGCCACACUGGAACUGAGACACGGUCCAGACUCCUACGGGAGGCAGCAGUGGGGAAUAUUGCACAAUGGGCGCAAGCCUGAUGCAGCCAUGCCGCGUGUAUGAAGAAGGCCUUCGGGUUGUAAAGUACUUUCAGCGGGGAGGAAGGGAGUAAAGUUAAUACCUUUGCUCAUUGACGUUACCCGCAGAAGAAGCACCGGCUAACUCCGUGCCAGCCGCCGCCGUAA